UUGCGUCCCUACCUGUACGGACGGUCGUUCAAGGUGGUAACAGACCACCAUUCUCUGUGCUGGCUGGUUCAAGGGACCCCUCAAGACGCCUAGCGAGAUAGAGCCUCCGAUUACAGGAGUAUGACGUAACCAUCACUUAGAAGUCAGGAAGAAAACACAACCACGCCGCCUGCCUGUCCCGAGCACCACUCCAGCGACAGGACAACGGUUUCGAGGACGACGACGCCUUCCUCGGUCUAAUGAGCGCGACUACCAUGUCCACCCUUUAGGGUGUAAUCCGGGUGUAACUGGGGUGUAAACUAAUUUUUACUCCCAAAUUACACCAGCUCGAAGAAACAUCCUGGGAUGAGGGGUGUUAAAAUGGGUGUAAUAAUAACGUAACACCUUAUUUACAACGUCCACUGAGCUCGGGUGUAAAAGAGGCGUAAAAUGGGUGUAGCGGGCAUAGAGCUUUUACAUGAACUGUAUUUCUUUUGAAACCACAAUGAUAUGCUUCAUGUUACCUACAGAUGCAUACAAUAGGGCACCUCUGUAGAAAUUUUGAGUCUACACUCUAAAUCCUGCGACGAACAUGUGCCGGUUAAAAAAGUUCCCUCAGAAAGUACAGCCGGUACACAGCCGUAAACGUCUGGAAGCAGCCGUAUGAGCUAUCAAAUAGUAAGCUCAACGAUCCUUAUCGCCAAAUAUGUCUGCCCCGCUGAAUAAUAUGUGUGCCUCCUGAGCCGUAUACUCGUGUGCUUGUCGAAUAAUCCGUGUGCCCGCUGAAUAUGUGUGCCUUCGCCCCUUCGCCCUUCGCUGGAGCGUACUACGUUGUUCCGCGCUCCGCCCGUGAGGAGUGACGUGGCACCGCGUAUUCCACCGCAGUGCAUUCGUCGCUGCGUUCGUGCCUGUUAUGUGCGCUGCAACCUCGCCUUUGAAAGGACGACAACCUUGCUUUUUAAUUACAAGUUUAAUGUUUGCUUAAGACGAUGGACACAUUGCAAAUGGCGGCAGGACGCAGGAGUGGAUCGGCUACAUCGGUGAAGCGACGAUUUAUAUUACAAGCGAGGCUAAUUGUAUUCUUUCGUUAUAGGUGAACGUGGGACUCUAUCGACUGCAAGGACGUGAGUUACAAAAAGCUGUAAUAUUCUAGCAUUAACGUUUGAACAAUACCAGCGUGAUGUUCACUUCGGUUUCUUUACAGGUAGUGUCCUGUCUCAACGGUCACGCAUAUGCGUGCAAAACUGCAACUGCUUCUCACAUCGAAGAGGGGUCUGGUGCCACAUGCUCGGACAAUUAUUCGUUGGCCAUUUCGUUUGAGGAACUGUCGUGUUCGUCACUAAGGAUGACCUUGGUUGAGCUUUGCAGUGCCAGCCUGGUGCAUCGGAGGGGUUGUGCCCAUGCAACGUGUGCUCCAUAUGUGUGUGUUGGGAUUAGUGAACUGUGUAUGCGUUCCAUUCGGCCAACGAUGAUGUACUGGAUGAAAUUUAAAGGUGCAUUUCCCAAAUGCUGCAGUGGCUGUGCAUUUGGUGCUCGUGGAAAUUUCUUGUGUCCACAGUAAUUAGCAGAGAGGCACUCCCCUGAAUUAUGUAUGAGUAAUUCAACUCCUCAUUUAUUGGACUGCGUACAUGUGCAUGGAUUCACAGUUUCGGGCUGCUGGCAUUUGUGAGAACUAUAGCAUCUAUCUCUCAAGUAGCACACGUAUUACUUGACAGAUAAACAACACCUUUUUGAAGGGUGUAAUAUUACCAGGGGUGUUAAAUUACACCCUAAAGGGAGUGAGUUAUAGCACUUUUGGAUUACACCCUAAAGGGUGUUUUUGAAGUAGCAAAUUACACCCUUUUUUGAGGUUGUAGCCGGUGGAAAAGGGUGUAAUAUUACACCCUAAAGGGAGUGAGUUAUCGCACUUUGGGAUUACACCCUUAUUACACCCUAAAGGGUGUAAAAAAAUUAAGAGUGUACGACAACCCCGAAUUGAAGACACUCGUCGACUAUCUGGAGGGCCGCGCCGACAACGUUCCUUCAAUCUUCCGAUGAUCACUCUCAAAUUUUUCCCUACGUGAUGGUGUCCUCUACAAAGAAAGCCA